rnacentral:rRNA from 1 species
AACGAACGCUGGCGGCAUGCCUAACACAUGCAAGUCGAACGAAGCCUUCGGGCUUAGUGGCGCACGGGUGCGUAACGCGUGGGAAUCUGCCCUUGGGUUCGGAAUAACAGUUAGAAAUGACUGCUAAUACCGAAUGAUGUCUUCGGACCAAAGAUUUAUCGCCCAAGGAUGAGCCCGCGUCGGAUUAGCUAGUUGGUGAGGUAAAGGCUCACCAAGGCGACGAUCCGUAGCUGGUCUGAGAGGAUGAUCAGCCACACUGGGACUGAGACACGGCCCAGACUCCUACGGGGGGCAGCAGUGGGAAUAUUGGACAAUGGGCGAAAGCCUGAUCCAGCAAUGCCGCGUGAGUGAUGAAGGCCUUAGGGUUGUAAAGCUCUUUUACCCGGGAUGAUAAUGACAGUACCGGGAGAAUAAGCCCCGGACUAACUCCGUGCCAGCAGCCGCGGUAAU